UUUUUUAGGACUUAACGUCAACAUCUUUGACUAGUCUAUUAUUUUUAGGGAUUGAUGUCAUUUUCUAACAUGUCUAAAGACC
rfam:Populus trichocarpa scaffold_10_contig_200, whole genome shotgun sequence.